UACGGAGGAUCCAAGCGUUAUCCGGAUUUAUUGGGUUUAAAGGGUGCGCAGGCGGAAGAUUAAGUCGGUGGUGAAAUUUUGCAGCUCAACUGUAAAAGUGCCAUUGAUACUGGUUUUCUUGAGUGUGGAUGAAGUAGGCGGAAUUUGUGGUGUAGCGGUGAAAUGCAUAGAUAUCACGAGGAACUCCGAUUGCGCAGGCAGCUUACUAAACCAUAACUGACGCUCAGGCACGAAGGCGUGGGGAUCAAACAGGAUUAGAUACCCCGGUA
rnacentral:rRNA from 1 species